AUUGAACGCUGGUGGCAUGCCUUACACAAGCCCAGCUCGUAACGGCAGCACGGACUUCGGUCUGGUGGCGAGUGGCGAACGGGUGAGUAAUGUAUCGGAACGUACCUUUCAGUGGGGGAUAACGUAGCGAAAGUUACGCUAAUACCGCAUAUUCUGUGAGCAGGAAAGCAGGGGAUCGCAAGACCUUGCGCUGAUUGAGCGGCCGAUAUCAGAUUAGCUAGUUGGUGGGGUAAAGGCCUACCAAGGCUACGAUCUGUAGCGGGUCUGAGAGGAUGAUCCGCCACACUGGAACUGAGACACGGUCCAGACUCCUACGGGAGGCAGCAGUGGGGAAUUUUGGACAAUGGGGGCAACCCUGAUCCAGCCAUGCCGCGUGAGUGAAGAAGGCCUUCGGGUUGUAAAGCUCUUUCGGCCGGGAAGAAAUCGCAUAGGCUAAUACCCUGCGUGGAUGACGGUACCGGAAUAAGAAGCACCGGCUAACUACGUGCCAGCAGCCGCGGUAAUACGUAGGGUGCGAGCGUUAAUCGGAAUUACUGGGCGUAAAGCGUGCGCAGGCGGUUUAGUAAGACAGGCGUGAAAUCCCCGGGCUCAACCUGGGAACUGCGCUUGUGACUGCUAAGCUAGAGUACAGCAGAGGGGGGUGGAAUUCCACGUGUAGCAGUGAAAUGCGUAGAGAUGUGGAGGAACACCGAUGGCGAAGGCAGCCCCCUGGGCCGAUACUGACGCUCAUGCACGAAAGCGUGGGUAGCAAACAGGAUUAGAUACCCUGGUAGUCCACGCCCUUAAACGAUGUCAACUAGGUGUUGGGAGGGUAAAACCUUUUUAAUACCGGAACUAACGCGUG
rnacentral:rRNA from 1 species